GUUUCCGUAGUUCAAUGGAUAGAAUUAUGGCCUCCGAAGCCGUCGAUAUGAGUUCGAAUCUCAUCGGAAACACAA
rnacentral:tRNA from 2 species